CCUCUUCGUGAUGAUGAAGUUAUUGCAUAUCUCUUGGCUGGUCUUGGCGCUGACUAUGACCCCUUUGUCACAUCCAUGACCACCAAGUCGGAGG
rnacentral:snoRNA from 1 species